rnacentral:rRNA from 1 species
ACUUUGGAAGAAGUUGUGCCCUUGAGGGUGAUGAGACUUGCUCUUUGAGCUGUUGGGGGUUGCAGCUACCCGGUGGCUGCGACUGUUUAUCAAAUACACAGCACUCUGCGAAAUCGUAAGAUGAAGUAUAGGGUGUGACGCCUGCCCGGUGCUGGAAGGUUAAUUGUAGGGGUUAGCGCAAGCGAAGCUCUGGAUCGAAGCCCCAGUAAACGGCGGCCGUAACUAUAACGGUCCUAAGGU